UACGAAGGGGGCUAGCGUUGCUCGGAAUCACUGGGCGUAAAGCGCACGUAGGCGGCUUUUUAAGUCAGAGGUGAAAGCCCAGGGCUCAACCUUGGAAUUGCCUUUGAUACUGGCUGUCUUGAGUACGGAAGAGGUAUGUGGAACUCCGAGUGUAGAGGUGAAAUUCGUAGAUAUUCGGAAGAACACCAGUGGCGAAGGCGACAUACUGGUCCGUUACUGACACUGAGGCUCGAAAGCGUGGGGAGCAAACAGG
rnacentral:rRNA from 1 species